GAUGAACGCUGGCGGCGUGCCUAACACAUGCAAGUCGAACGAAGCUUGACGGAUGAUUUCUUCGGAAUGAAACCAGAUAUGACUUAGUGGCGGACGGGUGAGUAACACGUGAGCAACCUGCCUUUCAGAGGGGGGAUAACGGCUGGAAACGGUCGCUAAUACCGCAUGAAGUGUUCGGAUGGCAUCAUCUGAACAUCAAAGAUUUAUCGCUGAAAGAUGGGCUCGCGUCUGAUUAGAUAGUUGGUGGGGUAACGGCCUACCAAGUCGACGAUCAGUAGCCGGACUGAGAGGUUGAACGGCCACAUUGGGACUGAGAUACGGCCCAGACUCCUACGGGAGGCAGCAGUGGGGAAUAUUGCACAAUGGGGGAAACCCUGAUGCAGCAACGCCGCGUGAAGGAUGACGGUUUUCGGAUUGUAAAGCUCUAUCAGCAGGGAAGAUAAUGACGGUACCUGACUAAGAA
rnacentral:rRNA from 1 species